GAAUGCUGACAUAAGUAACGAUAAAGCGGGUGAAAAGCCCGCUCGCCGGAAGACCAAGGGUUCCUGUCCAACGUUAAUCGGGGCAGGGUGAGUCGACCCCUAAGGCGAGGCCGAAAGGCGUAGUCGAUGGGAAACGGGUUAAUAUUCCCGUACUUGGUGUUACUGCGAAGGGGGGACGGAGAAGGCUAUGUUGGCCGGGCGACGGUUGUCCCGGUUUAAGCGUGUAGGUGUGUGUUCCAGGUAAAUCCGGUUCACUUUAACACUGAGGCGUGACGACGAGGCACU
rnacentral:rRNA from 3 species